rnacentral:rRNA from 1 species
UGGGGAAUUUUGGGCAAUGGGCGCAAGCCUGAUCCAGCCAUGCCGCGUGAGUGAAGAAGGCCUUCGGGUUGUAAAGCUCUUUCGGCGGGGACGAAAUGGUUCGUGCCAAUACCACGGACUGAUGACGGUACCUGAAGAAGAAGCACCGGCUAACUACGUGCCAGCAGCCGCGGUAAUACGUAGGGUGCGGGCGUUAAUCGGAAUUACUGGGCGUAAAGCGUGCGCAGGCGGUUUGUUAAGACAGAUGUGAAAUCCCCGGGCUUAACCUGGGAACUGCGUUUGUAACUGGCAGACUGGAGUGUGGCAGAGGGGGGUGGAAUUCCAAGUGUAGCAGUGAAAUGCGUAGAUAUUUGGAGGAACACCGAUGGCGAAGGCAGCCCCCUGGGCUAACACUGACGCUCAUGCACGAAAGCGUGGGGAGCAAACAGGAUUAGAUACCCACGUAGUCCCUGAGCGGGCUGGCAAGGCGCAU